CUUGCUCUUCUGUGUACGCAUGCGCACAUACACUCACUGGAGUAGUUGAUAUUCACAGAAGUGUGCUUGUAGUUGAGAGUAGGUAAUGGAGUUUGGAUUUAAGAGUGGUCUCUCAGUGCAGGGGCUAUUAAGUAUACGGAAUAUAUGAGUUUUAUAAGGUGUUAACAGGAUCGAUUAAAGUUUGAGGGGCAUGGGUUGGUGUGGCCUAUAUGCAGAUUUUUUAUACUAAAGACAGCUAAUGAGAAAGAGAAGUCUUUCUUUGAUAAUGCAAUAGUUUAAUGAUACCUUAAAUUAGGAAUUCCUAACAAUUCAGAUGGACUGAAUGGUUCUUAUCUGCCAUCACAUUCUAUGUUUCUAUAUGACAAGUAAAAUGCACACUUGAAACUGGUCCGAUCCAAGAUGCAAUAGCAUGAUACAAAAGAUAAAUGCACAUAAAGUAUAUGCAUUCAAUAUUUUUUUUUCCAUUUAAAGAGCUUAAAGUUUAGAAUCACUGUUAAAU